UAAUAAAUAAUAAUCUAGCAGCGGCGUAGGAGGCGGCGUCGCCGGCCGCGCGUGGGAAGUGGGGAGGGAGGGGUGCGGCAAGGCGGCGUCAGGCUGGGGGGAGGAGGAGGCGGCGUCGGGAUGGGGCUGGCCGAUUCGUCGUCAGGCGGCCAGGAGCGGAGGAUGCCCCACCCCCGUCCCUGCUCGCGCUCGGCGGCGUGGGCGCCGCGGAGACCGCAUCCACCAGCGAGCGCUCGUGGGCGCUCACCGCAAGGUCUUGCCUCACCCUGGACUCCUGGAGUACUCCUUCCCCUUGGCCAUGCGUCCUCGGUUGGGUCACCUCGCCGGCGGCUGCAACCCACACACCACUGAAGAAGAUGAGGGAAGACUCAAGUAGUACAGUCAAAGCCUC
rnacentral:lncRNA from 1 species